GUUUGCUGUGGGGCUAUUAAAAGAAAAUUGGAUCACGCCAAAACCGAUGGACUGGGAAAUAAACUGCAGCUUACAAAGAGAUUUUCACGUCGAACCUAACGUGUCGCUGAAGAGGACCGUAGAUGAGAAAUAGAAGGCACCUGCAUCAUCUAUCACAAGCUCUUUGCACUUGUUGCUUUGAUUACAGGAAUUAUCAUCAUGACUCAGCUUCCUCCUCCUGCUCAAGAUAGAAAUCUGAGAAACUAGAAGUCACAUCCCUGAAAAUUAGGCCUGCUAAGUCAGCACAUACUGCGAAUUACUGGACAUUUCAUUGGAAGCUAUGCACCACUCAAGUUAUUUUGCAGAUGGAAGAGGGAAAGGCCCAAGAAACAGGCGUCCAUCAACAACUUUUUCCACAUGUAAAAGGGCCUCUCCACAACAAAUUAAAUGGUACAGUGUUGCAUUUCACAGACAUGUACUUGGGGGUAGGUGCCACAUGACA